rnacentral:ncRNA from 1 species
GAAUACGUGAACGGGAGCUUGCGGAAGCAGGCUGAGAGUACGGCUAAACCGCCGUAGACCGUAGAACCUGUUGGAUAAUGCCAGCGUAGGAACCCACACCCAAAGUGCGU